GGCUCAGAUUGAACGCUGGCGGCAUGCCUUACACAUGCAAGUCGAACGGCAGCACGGACUUCGGGUCUGGGUGGCGAGUGGCGAACGGGUGAGUAAUGCAUCGGAACGUGCCAUUGAGUGGGGAUAACGUAGCGAAAGUUGCGCUAAUACCGCAUAUUCUGUGAGCAGGAAAGCAGGGGACCGCAAGGCCUUGCGCUCUUUGAGCGGCCGAUGUCAGAUUAGCUAGUUGGUGAGGUAAAGGCUUACCAAGGCGACGAUCUGUAGCGGGUCUGAGAGGAUGAUCCGCCACACUGGAACUGAGACACGGUCCAGACUCCUACGGGAGACAGCAGUGGGGAAUUUUGGACAAUGGGGGCAACCCUGAUCCAGCCAUGCCGCGUGAGUGAAGAAGGCCUUCGGGUUGUAAAGCUCUUUCGGCCGGGAAGAAAUCGCAUGGGCCAAUACCCUGUGUGGAUGACGGUACCGGAAUAAGAAGCACCGGCUAACUACGUG
rnacentral:rRNA from 1 species